CAGCCGUAAACUAUGCGCGUUAGGUGUACUGGUGACCACGAGUCACCGGGGUGCCGAAGGGAAACCGUGAAACGUGCCGCCUGGGAAGUACGGUCGCAAGGCUGAAACUUAAAGGAAUUGGCGGGGGAGCACCACAACGGGUGGGAGCCUGCGGUUUAAUUGGACUCAACGCCGGAAAUCUCACCGGAUAGGACAGACAUAUGAUAGUCGGGCUGAAGACUCUACUUGAUGAUCUGAGAGGAGGUGCAUGGCGUCAGUGACU
rnacentral:rRNA from 1 species